UGGUAUGCACAUGGAUGCCACCAUGAUUGCUGCCCUUGAAGCUCCCCACCACAACAAGGUUGGUAGAUUUCCGAAUGGAAAGGUCCGGAACUUUCUAGGGAAGGGAGGCGAGACGCGCCACACUGACAGCAGACUGCCUUUGCCAUACGUUAAGGAGAGUGGGGUUGAGCUGGAAGGAUACGAAAACCGAUGGAUUUUGAACGUUCACGGCCUUGAUACUCGGGGUGCGGUCGACCAUAUCGGAUGCUCCGAAUGCAGGUUUGCAACGUUUUCGCGUCUCAUCACUUUUCCUACAGUCUUGUAUGAUAGUUUGAUGUGAGAUUUCUCUCAUAGCUCGUCCACAUGAGCUCACAGUGAUAACGGCUGUCUUUCCAGGUGCCACUUGUACAACACCACUACCGAUGAGGAUGGUGAACCAUUGCCAGAUGGUUACAUUGGAGGUCUGCGAUGCUGCACAGAUGGCAGACAAUGUGCCGUGAAGGAAGGAUUUAACGGUGAAGAGAUUACUUUCCACUUGCGGUACACAUGGGAGUACAUUGACUGGAACGAAUGCUUGGUCCCUGUUACCAACCUUGGCAUCGAUGUCACCAACCCUACUGGCUUUGGCGAAAACCUUAUUGAGUUCACGGUUGACGGAUGUGGCGACGCUGAUCCUAACUCAGAGGAGUGCCUUGACACCCGGGUGGCUUAUCUCAAUGCUCCUGAAGGAGGUGAGGUUGUCUAUUCUGUCUCUCACCUUCACUCAUCCAUCUUGGAUGCGUCUAUCUGGGGAGAAGAUGGGCGCCUGAUUUGCAGGACUACCCCCUUGUAUGGAAACGGACACGAAGCUGGAAAUGAGAAGGAUUACGUUGUCGGCAUCAAGAACUGCAUUGGCAAUCCUGGUGCUCCGGACUCCAUGAAGAUCAAGCAAGGCGAAAGGCUGAAGUACAUCGUCGUGUCGACCAAGGUUGGAGGUCCUCACACCGGAUUGAUGGGCUUGGCCGGAAUUCAGUUUGUCAGCGAUGGUGUGAAGUCUGCUAUCUAAGCAACAAACGCUUGCUGUAAACACUAUCGAUGCAUCGUUGUCGUCAUUUCUGAAGGCGUAAGUUAGAAACGGGUUUUUGUCUUCAGUGAUUCACUUUACAGCGAUGGUUUGACUCACACGAAUGAGACGUGAAGGUUUUGAGUCACUAGAGGUAGUGUUUCUGGCCAGACGAAACUAUUGCUUUGUGUGCGGUAAUGUUACUUGGGUAUAUGUGAUUUUGAGACUUAUACAGUAGACCUAAAUAGUUUGUGUAUCAAGCAGAUUUGUACAUCUUGAACUACUUCGUUGUGGGUGGUUACAUAAGCAGUUGAUUUUGAAUGGUUGGCUCUUACUUAAGUACAUUACGAAGCUUCGUAAUGUGUUAGUUCCAUCUAUGUUGAACUGAUUAUCUGUAAAUGGCUCUGUCAUGAAGUUAUAUGCCAAGAUGAUGUUUUUGGCCACGGUGUGUUAUCCAUGAUAUUGUUCUAGAAUCUGAAGAUAUAUAUAAGAAUAAACUUGUCGGUGUUGGAUAUAAAUUCAAUAACUCCAUUGUACACGUUUGUUGUCAGCAAAAUGAGAGUAAUUACGACUGCCGAACCUUCAGUUGUGAGUAUUGUUGGAGUGCUAUUUUCAGUUCUGUUAGAUGUGAUACGAAAUUCCUCUUUUGCAAAAUGCAUGUAUUGACACAUUGUCUGUAUAUAGCUGUAGUGUGGAAUGAACUCCCCAAAUGGGAUUGAGAAUUUUGAACAUACAGAUCGCGUCCAGAUAAAGGAUUGUUAAAAAUGAGAAUUAAAUUGUAAUUAAGUACAUAUUUCAUCAAUGCAAAAAUGGAAAAGCAAAAUAAUUUAUCUGUUAAUAUAAUUGAAAAUAUCCUCCAGAAAGAAGGUGUUCACAUAAUCAACAGACCACAUUUUCAAAUCGAUUUUUUUUUUAGAAUAUUAAUGGUGCAGAUUUUAAUCAAAAGUGUUUGUCCCAGAAUCUCUCAACUCCUGACAGGGAAAGUCAAAGACUGGGUAAUGUGAAUUUUUAAACUGGUGUUGAUCACCUUCACUUCCCGCAAUUCGAUUAAUGACACCAUCUUCCAGCAUCCCUUCGCUGUCAGAAAUUACCAUGACAUGUUCAGGUUUGGAAUCGGCUUGUGCAAUUUGGGGAGUCAGCGAAGAGGCACAUUCUAACUCAGAACUGGUCGUCGUGGGAAGUGUCUGAAUUGGUCCUGCAAGCUUCAAAGCUCGACGAUGGGUUUGACGUACUUAUCGACAGUCCAAAUUUGGAGACUCUUCUGUGCGUUUUCACUUUUUAAACCGCCGUGAUUUGAUUGUAAGUGUGAUGCUCGAGCCUCGUACGCUGACGCUGGUCCAGUAAUCUGGAGUAGCGUAUGGAUGCCUAGUUCUAAGUUUGCAGUGCUCUUGACGGUCGGUCGUGUGGUGCGCUGUUUUGGCAGCAUUUGAGAUGUCCUUGUUCCAGGCUUGCUCAUCGCUCAGGGAGCUUGAUUAGGGUAUGGUUGAGCGCUGUCCGUCUACUCGACAAUUCUAUGCUUGACGCUGCAUCUGCUGUUGCUGUGACGGGAUUGGAGUUGUGCUACUGCCGAACCAGUCGCUCCUCCAUCGCGGCCACCAUGGUAUAAUACCCUGUUUUUGACUCUUGGUUUCCCAUGACCUGGAUCCGCGGGGUCUCUCCUUGUGGGAUACUCCGAGUCGCUGAAUUCGACUGCUGCUGUAUUUGAAAUCUGGUGGUUUCCGGCGUUUUCUCGCCAGAGGUCACCACGAUGUUUGGAUAUCUGUUUGUAUUUGUAUUUAAAAUUUUCUGCUUUACUUUACUUUAUUUUAAUUCAUUUUAUUAUUUUUAUUCUGCGUCUGUUUUAUGGAGGUAUACUUGGACAUUAUUGUGGAUGUGUAGAGUGGGGGCAAGACAUGAAUUGUGGGUGUUUGAUUAGGAUGACUUCCUGGUAGAAUUGGGUCAAGUGGGAGAUGAGAGCGCGAGCAGGCCAGGAUACUUAAGACCCGUGACCUAUGCAUGGGUGUGUAGAAUUUGAAGUUGUUUUGUUUUGCGAAAUGUCAAAACUGCAUGUUUUCUUUUAAUGUUCGUUGGGAUUGAAAUGUGAGGCUAUAUUUAAGGAUUGUGGUGAUCAUACAUUCGAAGAAAUGUAAUGGGCGCUUUUGGCGGCUUAAUUUGUUGUAUCAUGGACGGACGUCGAUUCUGCAGUAAAGUGCUCAGUAUUUGAUAAUGGUCUGCAUUGAUACUCAUCAUGGCUCUCCUACAGCACCAAUCGAUACCUAUACGACCAUGUUCCGGAAGGAUGCAACAUCAUUUUUUCAAUACAUCAAUCUUAGGAUUUACGGAUGGUUUGAGUUCGAUAUCGUGAAAUUAUUCUUUUGAAUGUAGACCAAUACAGUGGGUAUCGCAGCAAUUUGAUGUUUAAGGCCUUACCUGGCUCAUUUAUGGUUGGUGAUCGGGGGAACACCUCGUUUUUUUUUAUUUUUUUAUUUUUUAUUUAGGUUAAGCAAGUUUUUAGUUUAGUUAAAUCGUUGGAAGCUGUUAAUAAGUUAUCCUUGGGACUUGUGAAUCCCACUCCAGGAUUUUUUUCUCUUCAUGCUACGUAGAUCACUUUAGUAACCGGUCGGAGGUUGAAGGGGUUUGAGUAAUGCAAGCUAAGAUUUUGAUUUCAGUCUAUAAAUUAUGUGUGCAGAUAUUUACUCAAUUUGUCUACGGGCUUGUGCUACUGUGCAGAACAAGCUUGGCAGGGGGCAUCGGGACAAGGUCCAACAGUUUAUGACCAUUGCUGGAGCGAAGUAUUUUUUUACAUCACUCUUCUAACUUUUUUAUUACAUUCUUUUGCAGCUUUGAAUGUUUUUGGUCACUCAACUGAAAAGUUUCCGUAUUGUCUUCAUUGCUGCUCUGUAGCCUCAUGUGCCUGUGUGGUUGUCGAAUAGGGUUUCCUUACACUGGCCUAUUGCUGGACCUCGCAUUAUGCGCCAUUUACAAGUUUUAUCUUCUAAUUUUUUUUCUGAAGUUCACUUCUGAAUCUGGUGCUUCGUUUUGCAGUGAGAAAGCUGCGCUUACAGCCUUGAAGGCUAGUGAUUGGAACUUGGAAGGAGCUUUCGAAGUAUUUUUCAAUCAGCCACCUCCUAGACCACUCACAGACCCCCGACAGCUGGAAGAGUUUUAUCUGAGAUAUAAAGGUACCUGGAGAAAUGUAGGAGAUUUUUGUGACUCAUUAUGUGUGUGAUUUGUUUUGAAUUCUUGAUAGAUUAUUAGCGCUGACUCAACGGUUUUUCUCGCUCAAGUACCCUCACUUGAAUUUCUGUGCUCGUGAUUUGUUCUAAUUCGCAAUGUGUUUUGUCAUUAGAUGCAUAUUCGGAUAUGAUAUUGGUCGAUGGAGUUUCAGCAUUCUGUGAUGAUUUGCAGGUACUCGUCAGUAUCUGUGGUUCUGAUGUAAAUUACUAUCUACGUGUAUAGUUACACAUACUUCAAAAAUGUUGAAGUUCCUGGCGGUUGAUGUCGAGAUUGUUUUUCGGUGCACAAUUGAAGCUGAUGGCACUAUUAGGUAGUCCCAUUCACUGCAUCAGUGUACACAUUGUAUACCCUUCACAGUAUAUAUUGACGAAUUUGGUGAUUUUUGUGCUGCUUGGCAUACAGGUAGACCCUGGAGAUGUCGUCAUGGUAAGCUUCUUCUUGGGUUUUCGUUAUUAAUUACUCAGUUAUAAUACGACAAUCUCUAUUAAAGGUUGACAAACCCAGCAAAUUUCUGUAUAGACAUAAAAAGGUUUUGAAGCUCCUGUGUUAUUGGUGACUACUUUACUGAAUUCAUUGGGUUAUUUUAUGAUGAAAUUCCGUUGAUCUCAACUGACAGAUACUUGAUUGUACCUGUUGAUUAUUUGCAGCUAGUAAUCUCCUGGCAUAUGAAAGCAGCAACUAUGUGUGAGUUCUCAAAACAGGAGUUCAUUGGUGGUCUCCAAUCUAUAGGGUGAGAAUGAUGGUCACUAUUGAUGUCACUAUGUUCCGCAUCCUUACCCAUAUACUCCUGUUGUACACCUAUACUUGGCAUUGUAUGUUCAUCCUAAAUGUUGCAAAUUUUAGCACAGUUCAAGUACGAAGCUUACUGUUUGAGUUCGUAUGCUUCAGUCUAGUACUGCACGAGUGGCAAUUUACUCUUCUCCUAUGCUGUAUAGCUUAGUGGCUAUUCGAGGCUUACUGCCUGUGGAUGGUUCUGUGGGAUCCGUGUGUUGCAAAGAAUAAGCGUACAUGCGCUGCAGAUGCGACGUCAUUGACAAGUUGUUAUUCCGUCAUGAGGGAUUUUUUUUCAGUCGUUGCAGUCAUUCCUACACAGGUCAAUGAGCCGUAAUGUAUUUGCUUGAUAAAGUCAACUAUUGUUGUACAUGACAGGGUGGAUUCACUCGAUAAACUUAAGUCCAUCCUCACUUCCAUGCGAGCAGAGCUGAAAGAUGAACGUAAGAAAUGUUGUUGUUAAUCCACCUCUGUCGUUAUUAUGCAUGCUUGUGAGAAAGACAACACGGACUGUACGUCGUUUAAUUACGAGUUUGAUAGAUGAGGUAGUGGAAGCUUGGAGGACACAUGAGUUGGGGGGGUGUCUAUUGGCAGUUACUGUUAUGGUUUGACAGAAAUAAGUGAUCUCAGAAAAAUGAAAUUGUGCUACCCAAGAUGGUAAAAUUCUGUGCUGGAUGCGCAUAUCUUGGGUGAACAGGAAUUUUGAUAUGUAUCGCGUUGUACCUUUCUACAGAUAAAUUUCGAGAGAUAUACAACUUCGCUUUCAGUUGGGCCAAGGAAAAGGUCAGUGUAUGUAUGUAUGUAUGUAUGUAUGUAUGUAUGUAUGUAUGUAUGUAUAUGUUUGCAUCAGCUAAAUUGUGCUUUUCAUACAGUUCUAAUGCUCAUUCAAAAAAGUGUAUCGUUCGAAACACAUACCUUACAAGAACUUGUGUAGGGCUUUUUUAAACCUCAUUUGUGAAGAUAUUUUUCUUCAGAGAAGAUUUUUCACAUAGUUCUUCUCUUUGAUAGUCUUUAUUGACUAAGUCAAUUUGAAGUCCAAAUUACAUUGAUCAAGUUAUGGUUUUGUGGAUACAGGGACAAAAAUCAUUGGCUUUAGACACUGCCCUAGGCAUGUGGCGACUAUUAUUUGCGGAGCGAUCAUGGCCUCUUGUAGAACCAUGGUGUCAGUUCCUGCAAGUAAGUCUGCUUCAUCACAUUAAUAUACUUGCAAAUCUGGACAUUACUUAACCUGAUUACUCUCAUUAGGCAACUCUAAGGCAUUGUUUGGGUUGUACAGGCUAAGCACAAUAAAGCCAUUUCAAAGGACACUUGGUCUCAACUGCUCGAAUUCUCUAGGGUAAGUGCGUAAUCCUAUUCAUAUUAAUUUUGAGGUUACCAUUUGUGGGCGAUAACAAUUGUUGUGGGGUCAUCAAAUCAGCAUGAAAAAGUCAUAAUUUGGGAUGACAAAUUUGGUUUCUCAAAAAAUCAUCUUUGGACAGAAUUGACGGAGAAUACCAAAUACAUGCUUCUUAGAAUGAUCGAGUCUUUUGUGACAACAUUCUAAUAGCUUGUUGGUAUUUUUAACAGACAAUCGAUCCUUCGCUCAUGAACUAUGACGCAGAAGGGGCUUGGCCUUACUUAAUUGACGAGUUUGUGGAGUAUUUGCGGGAAAAUGGGGUAGUGCAUUCUCGUUGAGUAUGUUUAUUUGGCUGUGUAAUUGGUAUUCAUUACUAUUGGGGUUCCUGGUUGUGGGUUCCUUAGUCCAAGUUUUCUAUAUCCAUCGGAAGGUCGAUCGACUGUUAAGAACUGCUUGCAGGAAAAUAUGUAGUGUUACUAUCUUACGAGACUACCUUCCACGGGAAUUUUACAAUGAUAGAAACAUAUAGUGGAGUUUGACGAAGUCUUGGACCGUUUCUCCCAAGGUUUAGGUAUCAAGCAACUCUGUGUGUUCGAAUACUACAAAGUUUUCACGAAGGCAAAACCUGGUCUGGCCAUCAAGGUCUCUAUAUGUGUGGGUUCGUGGGCCCAACAAUCACAAGAUGAAUGUUAAAAGAGCCUGGAGAUUAUCUGGGCCAUGAUGUGUGCCGUUAUAUGGUUGCUUGCUAUGGCAAGCCUUGAAUUCACAAAUUUUGCAAGUCGAACCCUCAAUGGGAAUGAUCUGCUUUCUAUGUUGUUGGUGAGCCGUAAGCUUCCCAGUUUUUGUGGGCGUAAGGGUUGUUUGUUUAUAAAUGCAUAUGAGGGGCUGACUAUUCUGACCUAAAGUUGUGUUUCAUAACAGCUUCAGUGUGUAUCAGGUGCUGCUUGCUCUACAUCUGGAAGUUAAUGGUGCCUUUGUGGUGUAAGACGUGCAAACCUAACGGUGGAGAAGAAAUUCAGAAGCCCUGCACACGACAAAGGAAUUUGCCAGUAUUAAUGGGUUGGAACUUGGAUUAUAGACAUCAUUUGUUUCUACCGCUGUUUGGACACAUUUUUGUACAUGCAAAUGCUGACGUCUUGAGGUUGAGAUGGAUACCUCGGUAUAUCUGGAAAUGACCUUACACCAACUUGGCAAUAGCAUCCCUUCGGUAGCCUACGGCAAUUAACGCAACAUACUUUGGGGUCUUGUUUGCCUUUUUGGUGUUAUGGACUUUUCUUGAGGGGAGAUUAACAGCAACAAUUAAUUAAAAGAAUGUUUUCUAAAUCAUGUGAGCUCCAUGAACAGUACAAUUUUAAACAAGAUAUUAGCAGUAAAGAAUGAAACAGUAUAUUGAAAUGAUUUUCUGAUCUAUCAUUUCUUAUUUCAUGGUCUGGAAAUUAUAUUUGAGCCCUAAAAUGCCCCUACCACACUUCAACAAUCUAAAGCUUGAUUUAUUGACUUCAUCAAAUCUUAACAUCUUUGAAUCCCCAUAGUCACUAAUACUCCCCACAUAUGCUAAGUUUCUUAAACUAGUUUAGAAUCUUUUCAUUCUAAAUCUGGGCAUAUCCACUAUUUACCUACUUACACCAAGUCCAUUUUUCUCUCAUAGAGGCUAUAAUUCAUUUGAACUCUAGUAAACUUGUUCAAUACAAGUUCAAAUGUAGUCGUCUAUUGUCAUAUUCUAUGACUAAAUAUGGCAGUGGAGGUUAGAGCUGGGGGAGAUUGAAGACCACUUGUGACUUGAAUGACAGUUUUGAUAUACAAACUUUGUAUGCUCUGUAUUGUAUCGAUAGUUUUGAGCCUCGAGCAUCAGUUUUUCCUUGGUAUGGUGUUCUUACUCCAUCGCGAAAUUUUUUUCUCGACUUUUCUGACCAGUGUUGCACUCGUUGCGAUGUGUGGGUGAGAAGACAUUCUUCUGCAUCUCGAACUCUACUUUCUACGCAUAGGCUAUAGGACACUAACUGGGAUCUCCAUACUAUUCCCCUAGUCCGACCUGUUCACAGGAGGCUGAGUAUACACUGCAACAUAUCCACUUCGCGCAAAUUGUUCCGUCUCUGAGCAAGGCUUUCAGCUCGCUGGGAAGGGAGGGCUGAUCUGCAGUACUGGCAUUGUGCAUGGUAUCGCUGAGAUUGGAACAUGCCAAGGUCAGCUCGCAUAUCAUUGUCUGUGGUCCUUCAAACCUGAAGUAGUGCUCGAUAGCUCAUCUUGAAAUUUUUGUUCAAUGUGCCUCCUUGGAAUUUCUGCCCUCUUUACUUUUGUGCACACUUGCGGAGGAGUUGAAAUCUUUUUUGUAAAUCAGAUUCAAUGCCUCAGACACACUGAAGAGGUUAAAGGCAAACAGCUUGCAUCCAUCGGUGACUACGAAUAGAAUCCAGCUGGAGCUAUUGAUAAGGCGCUGGUGAGGUAGACCAAGGGAGAAACUAUCACCAAUACAACUUAGCAAUGUUGAAAUUUACGUUGUAGCAUGUUCAUGUAGCAGGGAGGUAGGCCAGCGUUUUAAUAAGUUUUAGUAAUUCAGAUGUUUAGCCCUUCCUCACUUCUCUAAUCACGUUCAUGUAGCACCCAGUUGAAUACUUUAGAGAGGCCAACUAUCCAAUCUAUGGUUGAGUUUAUGCUUGCAGAUCUUUUCAAGUGUUGGUAUUUGAAACCUAAAUUAGAAAAUGUUGGAGAUGCUAAAACUUUUCUUAGGAGAGUUGAUAGCUUGUUGCUUGGAAAUUGUUACUUUUAUAUUGUUCAUUGAUGAUGAUGUGUUCAGACCCUCAUCUAUUACCACAAGGUCAUCAAAUUAGCAAAUUACAAUGACUGACAGCUUUGAGCAAUGGUAAUUGAUUGGUGAUACAUGUUUCCACAAAAAAUUAUCCCAAAUACAACUUUUUAAUGCAUUUAACACUCCAUGAAAAUGUACCUCCUCAGGCAAUCUUAAACCUCUUAGUUGAAUUUGCUACACUUGCUUUUGUUUACAUAGGCUCAUGGGAUUUGAGCCCAACAUUCUGGGUCAUUUUGUUACUUUUGUUACCCAUAUGAUGUGAGCACAAAAUUGUGUGUCAUUUUGUUGCUCAGACUCAACCUCUUAAGGUCUGCAGUGUGCAAAGAAAAAACCUACAUAAUGGAUCCUUUAAUUUUAAAAUAUUUACUAAUGUAUAUUUUUGUUCUGGCUGAAAGGACUGUGAGUUGACAUUGAACACAUGAGAUGGGUCUAUUGUAGAAACUGCCACUCCAUGACCUUAAUCAUCUGUAAUGAAAAAAUCACAGAUAUGUAAACUAUUCCUGUUAUUAUUAUUAUUAUUAUUUCCAGCACUAUCUUGGAUACAUGCACUGAUGUCAAUGGCAGAUAUUUAUAUAGAGUCCAUCAGAACAUGAAUGUGUGUAUUUGUAAGUGUGGGUACAUUAAUUAAUUAAUUAAUUAUCUAAUAAAUUAUCAAGAGUACAAUAUUGGGGGGGGGGGUUGGGUUUGUGGGUGUCCUUGACAUCAUUAGCUACAUUGGGUGCAUGCAGUCAUGAAUCAUAAAUGUGUGGAAAAUGACAUUUGCUCUUCUUAGUAAUAUUUUGUAUUGUCUUUUCCUUGCUGUUGUUUUUAUCAUUCUAGUGCAUGAUUUCUUCUGCACUAGUUUUUUUCUUUUUUGUUGUUGUUGACCACUUAUUGUUUAUUUUUGUUAUGUUAUAGUACCACUAUUUCUAUCUUGAACAACCCUAUCUCACUUUCAUGAUGGUGGUUUCUAAAAAAAAGUUAUACUUCUAAGAUGGGUUUUUUGCAAGAAAUUUACAAGUGAAAUUUGUGUAGUUUUUUUUCAGUUUGGAUCUUCUUGUUUGUUUCUAGAACAGAUUGAAGCAUACCUGAUAUUUUUGUUUUCUUUUUUUUCUUUUUUUUGAUUGAGAAGUUUUAAUGUACUAUUGGAAUAAAGAAUAUUUUAAAAUAGAAAGACAUAGAAUGUUGCAAUAAUUUGAAUAAAAAUCAUUCAAAUCUGCACUUCAAAUUUGUAAUGCAUCUGUAAAUUUUAACAGAGAAGAUCUGUAUGUCAUGUAAAUUUAAAAUUUAUCUUGUAUUUUUAAAUUUGUUUCGAAGAAUAUAAGUCAUAAAGAAAAUAGUUCGUUGUGAUUUUAGAGACACCUUAAAACUGUCUAAUGACUAUAAAAUCUAUUUGUAAAAGUUGAAAAGUUCAUAUAUAUUUCUACAAAAUAUAUUUUCUAAAGUAAUUUUUGUUGUAUUUAUAUGAAUUUAGGUGAAUAUGUAUAUAUGAUAAAUUUGGUUCCUAGUAAAUAAUUGAUUCAUAAGAGCUUUUUCAAUAGAAUACAAUAUAAGUAGCAAUUUAAAUUCUUCCAUAUCUUAGAGAGUUGUAUACAAAAAAUGGAUAGAUUGGAUUUUAUUAAUAAAGAUACAAAAUUAUUAAAUUUAUUCAACUUCUAAUAAAAUUUUAAAAAUCAAAAAAUAAAAUACAAAGAAGUUCAUUACUUACAUAAGAGAGAGAAAUAAAUAAUAAAAAAAAAACAAAAAAAACAAUUAUUUUUAAUAGUUGUAAGAAAAUCAAUGCCACUAUAUUAGUGUGUUAUCAUACUAAAACAUCUACAAACUAAUAUUAUUGGGACUAGUAGAUAUUUAUUAGUUUAUAGUAGUUAUUAGUUAAGACAAGGUGAAAAAUAUCAAAAAUUUGGCUAUAAGUUUUUAGAGAUAAAAAUCUAGGCUUUGGAUAUUAAGUGGUUUGUAGUGAUGGAUAGAUAAUAAAGUGUUGGAGUGGCACAUAUAAAGUCCUAAAUUUGAAACUCCAUAAAGUUAGAAGGAGAACAAAGAGAGAAUGUUUUUUUCAAGUUCUUAAAUAAUUUAUUGAAGAUAUUUGAAGAGUUGGUCUUACAAUGCUUGCAUUAGGAAAUUAUAUUGGGCGACUUGUCACUUAUUGGCAAGAGCAAGGAAUCUCCUCUAAUUUUAGCAUGAUAUCUAAUGCCCAUGCCUUCUAUAUAUUUGAUAUAUAGCUUUCCUAAAAAUAAGGAACCACAAAUUGGUAGUGGCUAAAGUGUUAUAACAUCAAUCCUUCAAAAUCUUCAAUACACAUUUUUGAAAAAAAAUAAAAAUAUUUAUGAAUUAACUAAGAUUUUAGGAUUUAGAGCUAGCAUAUUGUCAAGGACAUGAAUUACAAAGAACCAAUUUAUAAUUUUUGGCUACAGGUAAUGAUAACAUCACACCUCAAUGAUAAGAUACCGACCCUCCUAAUUGAACAUAUUUAAACCAUAGGUUACAUAAUAAAAGUUACUCCCAUAAAACUCCCCCACGACGCUCUUACCAACUGAGUCGCAACUAGUUACUACCAGGAGCGGUGUGAAAAGGUCCUUCCACCGGAACAGACACCGCUCCCAUUUGAAGCGCUCGCCGUCGCGGCCGAUCACAACUGAUAGAUCCCCAAUUUCCCACUCUGGGUUUCACACUUUAGCAUUGCCUCUCUCUCAAUCUAUCAAUCCAUCUCUCACAUGGUCAUAGAUUCUGGACAUGUAGUCGUUGUUUUCCAUAAAAUAAACAUGCCGCAAAGCACUACCACAAGGCUGCCUGAGUGCGAACUCUAGAUGCUGGUCCAUGGUUAUCCGACAAUGCUGCAGCUGCAUUCGCCGAGGAUGUUGGAUAAUGGGUUGUUCUAGAUUCUGUUACUUCUUGCGAUUUUGAGGGGAAGGCUGUGACGAUGGGUGAAAUUUUGGGCGGGUACAGCAAGUUCGAGAGAAGAUAUCGGUGGAUGAUCGUAGAGAAGAAAUGUGAGGACUCGAAGGCCACUGCGGUGGCAGAUGUGGUGAGCAUCGUCGGGGUGAGCAUGGAGGAGACGAUUGAAGCGGGAGUUGUGACUGGAGUGGUGACGGAGGCAAUGCCGAGGAGUAUUGUGAAGUGUUUGGGGAGGAAGACCGGUGGAAUUGAGAAGAUAUGCGGGGAGAAUCAGGCUAGUCGUGCUACCGCUUGGGUGACGAAGACCACUGCCAAGGAAAAGAAGGUUGAGAAGGUGAAGAUAAAGAAGAAAAAGAAGAAAGUGAUAUUGAGUCCUGUUGAAGCGGAUGCGGGUGAUGGGGUGGAGGUAUGCAAGGUUAAGGGAGUCACUGUAACAGAUCAGGAGGAAAGAGUCACGGUGGGUGAGGA
rnacentral:lncRNA from 1 species